rnacentral:rRNA from 1 species
UGGGGAAUUUUGCACAAUGGGGGAAACCCUGAUGCAGCGACGCCGCGUGAUUUAGAAGGCCUUCGGGUUGUAAAAAUCUUUUCUAUGGGAAGAAAAUGACAGUACCAUAGGAAUAAGGACCGGCUAAUUACCUGCCAGCAGCCGCGGUAAUACGUAAGGUCCGAGCGUUGUCCGGAAUCAUUGGGCGUAAAGGGUACGUAGGCGGGUAAGCAAGUUAGAAGUGAAAUCCUAUAGCUCAACUAUAGUAAGCUUUUAAAACUGCUCAUCUUGAGGUAUGGAAGGGAAAGUGGAAUUCCUAGUGUAGCGGUGAAAUGCGCAGAUAUUAGGAGGAAUACCGGUGGCGAAGGCGACUUUCUGGCCAUAACCUGACGCUGAGGUACGAAAGCGUGGGUAGCAAACAGG